rnacentral:lncRNA from 1 species
GAAAAGGAAAGACCUAUAGCGAGACUUCAGUGACAGAUGGAGGAGGAAAUCUUAGAGGCCUUUAGGAUCCCAGAUUGCUGCCUUCAAUGGUUUCCAUUAGUAUUGCCAAUCCCUUCUUCCCACCAGGCACAAACUCACAACUGCAUGUAUGAAGAAAAUACGCAGUUAUCUCAUGAAGGCCGAGGUUGUGUCAUUCCCUAAGCUUCUUCCUGUGAGCUCACGCUGGGCAGGGCCAGCACAGAUCGUUCAUCUUUUCUGCACCCCAUGACCGAGAAGCUGAUCAAUUUCCAGAAUAGCUCUAUCUGUUGAUAAAAUUGGAAAUGUUUG